rnacentral:rRNA from 1 species
ACCGAACGCUGGCGGCAUGCCUAACACAUGCAAGUCGAACGAGACCUUCGGGUCUAGUGGCGCACGGGUGCGUAACGCGUGGGAACCUGCCCUUAGGUUCGGAAUAACUCCCCGAAAGGGGUGCUAAUACCGGAUAAUGUCUUCGGACCAAAGAUUUAUCGCCUUUGGAUGGGCCCGCGUUGGAUUAGCUAGUUGGUAGGGUAAAAGCCUACCAAGGCGACGAUCCAUAGCUGGUCUGAGAGGAUGAUCAGCCACACUGGGACUGAGACACGGCCCAGACUCCUACGGGAGGCAGCAGUGGGGAAUAUUGGACAAUGGGCGAAAGCCUGAUCCAGCAAUGCCGCGUGAGUGAUGAAGGCCUUGGGGUUGUAAAGCUCUUUUACCCGGGAUGAUAAUGACAGUACCGGGAGAAUAAGCUCCGGCUAACUCCGUG